UAACUAAAAUUAGGCUAUCUAUAAUAUACUCUCGACCACUAUAAAAUAAUGCAUCUAACACAUUACAAUUAUUUCUUAACUUUGCAAGUCUCAUGCGUUAUAAAAGAGAAAGCAUGUGUUUGAGGAGGAGUACUCAAUAAUCUCUUCUAAAACCACACCCUUUUGGUAGAGAGGAUAACAACAACACAACUAAAUAUAGCAAGGACACAACAUGACAUGCACAAAGAUACAUGUCUUUUUUGGUUGAUUCAAGUUCUCACAAAAGCUCCGAAUGGUUCCAUACCAAAACUAAUUGAACUAAUAUAUAUAGCUAGGUGAAAAGAUGAUGUUAUGGUGAACUUAUUAUUUACUAUUUGGAAACUGCAGAAAUUGCAGAGCUUGAUGAUCAUCUAAGUUUGGUUACCAUCCUUUAUUCUUGAUUCACCGGCUGCAUGACUUAUAUGCAAUAAAUCUGAAACCAAUUUCUAGCUUCAUCUUCCAAGCAAGAAAAUUUCACCAAUAUUUUCUUCAAGUCUACAUUACAACUUGAGGAACACAAACUCUUCAAUGGCACUUACAUCUCCUAUCUUCUUCAGAGCUUCUACGUUAGGUUCUUCAUCGACCCCGAUCGCCAUUAUGGCUUGAUUCCUCCUAACAGUUCUUCCCACACUCAUAAAGCUGACAUUUACAUUAUGCUCGCCAAGAAUGUUUCCAACUUGGCCGAUCAUGCCAGGUUGAUCGACCUGCCUGCACAAAAUGAGGUUCCCUUCCAAGCUCACAUCAACUCCAAAUGAUCCCAGUUGUGUCAAAUGAGGAAUUCCAUAUUUCACUCUUCCUUCAAUUGUUAUAUGUCCAUUCUCAGAAACAGCACCUGCAAAUUUAGAAUCUACGUUGAAGAUUUGCACUUGAAUUGAGUGGACUGGGAACUCAGGGGCUGUGUCAACAACCACGCGUUCCUCCCUAAUGCGUAGACCUUUUUGCUUGGCUAUGAAGUCUGCAUUCACAAGGUUGAUAAUUGAGUCCGAAAUUGGCUCAAUGAUGCCUUUUGUGACCAUUGCUCGGAGAAGUCUUGUGUCCAAGUCAUCUGGGUCUCGAGCUGAUUCGUAAACCACUUUCACAGAUUUGAUUCCACUCCCUCCAGCCACUAAUUGUACAGCUAGCUUACCAAGCUUCUCAGCUAGCAACACAUAAGGAGCUAAUUCUGAUAAAAUCUCUUGAGGAACCAUGGGGGCGUUUACAGCAGUAGCAGAAAGUUCCCCUUUCAAUGCUCCUGUGACAGCCUCUGCUAUUUCAAUUGCAACACCUUCCUGUGCUUCCAUUGUGCUUGCUCCAAGAUGAGGCGUAGUAGUGACAUUCUCAUGUUGCAGUAAUUUGCUAUCUUUGGGUGGGGGCUCAUGGGCAAACACGUCCAGUGCUGCCUGAGCAACUUUUCCAGAAUCAAGGGCUCGGACUAAAGCAUCUUCAUCAAUAACACCACCUCUAGCAACAUUAACAAUGCGAACACCAUUCUUCAUCUUUGCAAAAGUAUCAUCAUUGAAUAUAUUAUGGGUUGUAGGAGUAAGAGGCAUGUGGAGAGAGAUGAAAUCAGCAGAAGAAAUGGCUUGAUCGAAAGAGACCAGAUCAACCCCAAGAGCUCUAGCUCGUUCAGCAGGAGCAUAUGGAUCAUGAGCAAUCACAUUCAUACCCAAUCCUUUUGCUCUUCUUGCCACUUCUGAUCCAACUUUUCCAAAUCCCAUCACUGCUAAUGUCUUCCCAACUAGAGAUACACCCACAUACUUGCUUCGUUUCCAUUGUCCGGCUUUAAUGGAGGCAUCGGCCUGGGCAAUAUUUCUUGCCAUGGCAGUAAGCAAGGCGAUCCCAUGCUCUGCAGCUGCAACAGUGUUCGCAGUUGGUGCAUUAACAACCAAGCAACCAAAUUCUGUGGCAGCUCCCAGAUCCACGUUAUCUAUACCAACCCCAGCCCUUCCUACCACCUUCAACCUCCCUUUCGCAGCCUCAAACACCUCUCUGCUCACCUUCGUCGCACUCCUCACGAUCAACGCAUCGCAUGUUUCGACCUUCUUGCACAGAUCUUCAUUCGAAAGAUCAUAACAGCACUCCACGUUUCCAAAGCUACGUAGAAGCUGCAGGCCUGCAUCUCCAAGUUUCUCAGAAACCAAAAUGGUGGGUCUUGUUUCUUGAAAAUUUGGGGUCUUUAUUUUUUGCCCAGAUGGGGAUCCAGUUGCUGGGCUUGUUACUGCAUUCUUGAUGGAUAAAGAUUGAGAAUGGGAGAGUUUGAAGGAGAUGGGUAUUGAGGAGGUGAUGAUCUUAGUAUGCAGAAAAGGUCUUGAUGAUGAUCUGAGAAAGCAAGGAGUUGGAAUAGGUUUGGUAGAGGAGAAAGCCAUGGCUAUAGCUUGUAUGUGUGUUUUGAGAGGGAUUGUACUUGUGAUAAUGAGCAGUAGCUUUUUUUAAGAGGAGUUUUGAUGGCCAAUUUGGGAAUAUGGACAAAUUUUGUUGCAGU
rnacentral:misc_RNA from 1 species